UUUUAAACUUAAAAAUUAAAGUUAUUUUAAUUUGUGAAGAAACAAUUAUUAAAAUUAGGGACAAGAAGACCCUAAGAAUUUUAUAAUUAAUAACUUUUUAUAAUGAAAACUUAUUAAUUUUUAGUUGGGGCAACUAAAAAAUAUUAUGAACUUUUUAAUAAAUAAAAUGAGCCAUUAUUAAUGAUAAUUUGAAAAAAUACUCUAGGGAUAACAGCGUAAUAAUUUUUGAUAGAACAUAUAGACAAAAUAGUUUGCGACCUCGAUGUUGGAUUAGGAUCCUUUUUUAAUGAAGAUGUUAAAAAAAGGAGUUUGUUCAACUUUUAAAGUCCUACUUGAUC
rnacentral:rRNA from 1 species